rnacentral:lncRNA from 1 species
CUCUGGUUCUCGUCUCUGCCCUGCCGGAGACUGGGACAUCCUUUUCUCUCCCUGGGUCUGUGUCCCCGUCGCUACAUCCCAGCCUGGAGGGCAUGGCCCAGCGGUUGCAUAGGUCCCUCGGUUUCUGCAGAGCCCGGGAGUCACCCUAUUUUGGUAAAGGUGAGCUCUGGCCAGGCUUGCUUUGCCUCGGGAGCAGACUUUUCUCCAGGCUCCUCGCCUGUCUCCCGGGGUUUGCGUCCCCCGGGCUGGGUCUGGGGAGGCCCUCCCGGGUGAUGUGCUGGGGUCUCGGGGACUGGCCUCCCCCGGCCCCUUCCAGGCCUGGCGGAGGCCAAGGGCAGGCCGCGGGAUCGGGCAGCCGCUCUCACCUAGCCGUUCCGCUCCAUCCGCCGCCUGCGCCCGGGCUCUGUCCUGCUGGUAAACAACCCUGGUCUCCCGGGCAACGCCGCAGGGUGGGGGGCCACGUGCUUCCGGCGUGACCGGAACCGGCCUGGGUCGGGUGGGGUCGGGUGGGGUCGGGUGGGGGCCGCUGGGCCAGGAGGGCGGAGGCCGUGAACUCCAGGUCGGUGGAUUGCGAGCCUGGAGUGGAUUGCCUGGCCUGGAGGCGACAGGGACCCGCGGCCUCCUUCUCUCCUCCUCUUCCUAGCGUCACCGCCUCUGUUUCUCUCUGGGGGAGAGUGUCUGGGAGAGGGAGAGCCCUGGCCGGGGCAUGGAGGAGCGGGGAGCAGCACCACUAGUCUCAAAAUCCGUUUCUCACCUUGGGUCAGGCCCUGACCCUCUCAGUGUCCCUGGUUUUAAAAUGAGGCUGUGGGACUGAUGGAUUCUCGGAACCCUAAACUCUGAGUGGAUGCUUCUAGGGUAUCUGAGUUGCGGGGAGCAGGGCCCCCAUCCUCAGUACAGCCCUUUCAGCGCCAGUUCCCUGACCUCUUUUCACAUCAGCCUCCCACUCCGGGGCCACACUGGGAACCUUAUCAACAGCAUCUGCACCUCCUUUGAUGUCCCCAGCCACAAUCUCUUCCACUUCCAGCCACUUGAGUCACUUCCGCUGUAUCUGUUUUUCACCAUCUUUGGGUUUCCUGUCCAUUGCUGUCUCCGCUUUCCCCCUCGAUAUCAAUCUGCUUCUUCCCUAUCCUGGCCCAUUACCUCGGCAUUCUCAAAAGGAUCCUCCCUGCCCGAGUCCUACUCUCCUUCCAUCUGAUGAAACCUGAAGCCAAACCAGUCCACCUACACACGGGUAUUGAAGAAGUCUUGGCCAGCCACACACCUUGGUGUAACAGAAACACGAGGUCUCUAACCUCAGUUAGACUCUCAGCCCUGCACUUCCAUCCCCAACCGACCACUGGGUUCUCUCUCCCUCCUUUCUUCUUUUUCUUCCUUUUUUAAGGGGAGACAGGGUCUCGCCCCUUCACCCAGGCUGGAGUGCAGUGGUGCAAUCACAGCUCACUGCAGCCUGGACCUCCCCAGCUCAGCCUCCCUUGUAGCUGGGACUACAGGCGUGCACCACCAUGCUUGGCUAAUUUUUAUUAUUUUUUGUAGAAUGGGGUUCUGCCAUGUUGCUGAGGGUGGUCUUGAAGUCUUGGGCUCAAGUGAUCCUCCCGCCUCAGCCUCCCAAAGUGCUGAGAUUACAGACAUGAGCCACCUCGCCCAGCCUCUCCUUUCUUCUCAAUGGCUAUUUCAAAACGUUGUUUUGCUUGCGAAACCUCCCACCUCUCCCUCUCCCACCUCCCUCCCUCCUCCCUCUUAGAAGAUACCUUUACUGCCCUCUUCAGAGAGAAAAUAGAAGCCAUCAUAUGGAAACUUCCUCAGCCUUCUGCCAUCAGACCUGCAAACUUGCCUGCCUACACUUCCUUGCUUUCCUCCCUCCCUCCAGUUCUAAUGUCUUCUGAUUCUCUCCAAGGUGAAUUGCUCCUCCAUGGGUCGUGAAAGAAGAUCAUGUCAGUGGUGGUGUUUCUGCUCGUCUCAGAAGGGAAGUCUGUGACCCGUGGGAGUUGCUGGGGAGGGCCUGGUCUGGGCCAGGCCUCUUCUUUGGGUUGCCCCCUCACACACUCUGGUCAUCCAGGAAGCCUCUGUGGCCCUCGGAAUGUGUAAAAGAUGGUGGUUUUAGGAGCUGCUGGUUUUGCAACUGAGUGCUGACGGCUUAUUUCUUGUUAAUGAUUCUGUCAAAAGUGUCUUAGCGAUGCUCUUCAGCCCUUCAUCACCCACCCAAAAAAGAUUAAAGUGGAUUCUUCAUCAGCUAUUUUAAAAUCACCUAAGAAUUAUACAAUCCUUUGGAGAAUCAAAUUGGCUUCUCACCGUGUGUGUGUGUGUGUGUGUGUGUGUGUGUGCGUGUGCGCACGCACGCGCGCCUUUGCCAGUGCACAGUGAAAUGGCGGUCUGUUUAAUGUCAGCAGUACAUGCAGUUAACGUCAGCAGUACCUGCCUUUUGCUCUCCAGUGUUGUGUAAUGCCCAGCCCCAGGGGGAGGCAGGAGAGGAGGAAAGGAAGGCGCCAGUCCAUUGCUGUGCCUCUGCUGCCUUUGUGCCCGACCUUCUAUAAAGAGGAUGUCUUCAAAGGACAGACCUGAUAAUGCCUGGUGUCUGGCACAUACCCAGAGUGGAUCUCAGUAAACAUGGGCAGAGGUCAUUGCCCUGCCAGCUGAAAUGUGGACUCACCUUCCUUUCUAGCCAUGUCCCAAUCUACUCUCCAGCUCUCUCCCUGGGCUGCAGCCAGCUUGCUCCCCAGAUGGGCCCCAGCUUUUUCAUCUCCAGUGUCUUUGCCCAUGCCUGCCCCACCCUGCUCUCUUCCUUGAAGUUAAGCCAAAAUGACUGAUCCUUCAAGGCCCAUCUUAAAAGCCACCUCUUCCGUGAAGCCCUUUCCUGACCACAGCCUCCCCACAAAAGCUCAUGUGCUCUCUCUGGUCGCCUUUGGUCCAGUGGAACAUGCCCAAGAUGGUGCUGUGCACCCUCCCUAGGUCGGCUCCCUUCAUCUUCACAACGCUCCUUAAUGGAGGCAUCAUAGCCCUCCUUUGCUUUAGAAAACAGUGGAGCCUCAGGGUUCCCCCUGGUGAAGGAGCAGCAGAGCAAUUUUACAACCUGCAUCCAGCAGUUUCCAAAGCCCACCCUGGACCCCAGAGUCCCACCCCCAAGCUCCUCACCUGCGUGUUCCCCCAUGGCCCUUAUCUGUGCUGUCCGUUGCACUGGUCGUGGGGACUGCAGGCAUGGCCUCUGACGUCAAAGCUUGAGUAUCAAUCCUGGCUCCACCACUUGCCAGCUGAAGACGUUAGGUAAAUGAUUUACCUUCGCUGGAUGUCAGUUUCCGCAUCUCUAGAAUGGUGAUGAUAAGCACAGGAUUGUUGUGCGGCUGAAAUGAGGUAACACACGUGCCAAGUGCUUAGUGAGGGCUACUAACUCUUGUUGCAUCAUCUUCACUUACAGUGUACAUCUCCUUCAGUAGGUUAUGAGCUCCUUGAAGGCAGGAACUUGCCUGUCUCGGAAUCCCCUGCCUUGUCCACACAAUGCUUACUUUGUGAUACGUGCUCGGCAAUGAUGAUGGUGGUGCUGAUUCCAAGGCUAGCGUUUCCACUGAGCGAUCCAGCAAGCUGCUAACUGGUAUCCUCCCCAACCAUAUUUGGCUUGGGGUCCAAAUGACCUCCCCAGGGGCUUGCUGAAGGCGGGGGCCCCGGUUUCUUAGCGGCUUGUCCCCACAGAGUGUUUGGCCCCAUUUUGAAUUAGUGAUUUCUAGAUUUCAGAGUCUAUAGCCAGUGUCCUGCUCUGCCUGUCCUUGGUCUCAUUAGACAUGUGGAUUGAGAUCAUGGAUAACCUUUAAGCAGAAGGUGAACCAGGUGGAUAUUCUAGUAGCAAGGCCAAGAGGCUGGCAGUUAGUCAUGGCUCCUGUGAUCAGCUUCCUAAGGGGAUCUGCAAGAGGGAAGUUUCUGGAUGAUGAAACUUAACCCUUGAAGUACAGACAUGGGUCACUUAACCAUGGGGAUACAUGCUGACAACUUCAUUGCUAGGUGAUUUUUUCAUUGUGCAAACAUUGUGGAGUGUGCUUACCCAAACCUAGAUGGUCUAGCCUGCUACACACCUAGGUUAUAUGGUAUAGCCUGUUGCUCCUAGGCCACAAACCUGUACAGCAUGUUGCCGUUCUAAAUACUGUAACACAAUGGCAAUUGUAACACAAUAGUAAGUAUUUGUGUAUCCAAACAGAUCUAAACAUAGAAAAGGUACAAUUUAAAAUAUGGUAUAAAAGAUAAAAAAAAUGGUAUGCCUAUAUAGCGCAGCUACCUUAUAAUCUUAUGGGACCACCAUCGUAUGUGUGGUCUGUCAUUGGACCAAAAUGUCAUUAUAUGGUGCAUGACUGUACCACAGCUUUUUAUUAUUUUCCCCGUAUUGUUGGAAAAUAUCCAAAAAUGUAUAGCCUGCUUUCCAGUCUUGUUAAGCAGAACACAUCAAACACUGUAACUCACCUUGGCUACUGUUGACCAAGUAUUUUCACCUUCAGGAGCUUGUGGAAUCUUGCUGGCAUUCUGUGGGGGGCCAGAAUCAUUGUCUCCACCUCUCUAGUGGAGGAAGGUGAGGCUCAGAUUGUUUAAAUCUGUCAGGAAGUGGCAGAACAACUCCAGCCCUCUUCUUUGACAUAGGCCCCUGAGUUAGUUGCUCUCCACCCUUGCAGUCUCUUGCACAAUGCUACCUUUCCUUGGCAACUCGCAGUCAAUAAUUGUGCUCCAGGUGCACUAGUUUGAUGUGGAUGGAGUCAGCUGCCCCAGCACACAGUGACCCAGGCUUCUAGGCUUCGUUGAUUAUCGCUUUAAUCACCCCUUGCUUACCUUCCUAUUAAGAGAAGCUGCUCUGACUCCAUUCCUGUCCGGCUGCUGGGCCUGAGAAAUGAAGCUGAGCAGCUUGUUAGAACUGCAUCUAAAACAAGAGUCUAAGAGUGUUGUGAUACCUGCUUCGCUGCUUGGGCUGUUUUGGGUUUUGCCUUCUCGGUGGUGUUUUGGAUAGGCACGGAAGCAGGAGAGCUUUCAAGGAUUAGGAUUGCCAGCUAUGGAGUCAGACGCACCUGGGGUUAAGUCUGGGACCUCUCAGUUUGCAGGGCAAAUGACCUGACCUGUGCCAGCUUCAAUUACCCUUACUGGUAAACUGGAAUGAAUCGUAUAUGCCUCAUCGGGAGGAUUCGGGAGGAUUCAAGGAGAAUCCUAAUUCACAUCCUGUGCUUAGCCUCCUGUUGGUACUCAAGGGGUUGCAGUUAUUGUUUUUAUUUCUGCAACUUGAAGUAUGAUAAGACUCUUAACACUCAUUCACUCAUUCAUUCAUGCCUCAAAUAUUUAUUUACUGCCCAUCUCUCCAUGCCUAGUUUCCUUAUCUGCAAAAUGAGGGUAAUAAUGGCACUUAUCUAGCUAGGGGAUGUGAAGAUUUAGUGAGUAAAUAUAUGUAAAGUGCUCAGAACCCCUGCAAGGCAUAAGUGUGAUAUAUACGUUAGCCAUCAUCGUGGGUAGUAUUAGUUUGUGCCAGGCACUGAUAAGAAGGCACUAGGGAUAAAGAGGUGAACAAAACAGACCUGACCUCUGUCCUUAAUGAGCUUGCAGGCUCCAUCCAUCUUAUUUUCUCUAUGGGGAGGAAAGCCAACCAGUGUUUCAUUACUGUUGAUAAAAGCUGAAUUGAUGGGUCCAGGAAAGGACCCAGAUGGUGGCGUCUAGGGACCCUGCAACUUACUGGCUGCUGCCCUAGGGGCUGGCGUGGGAGGCCAUGCCAUGCUUUCUACAUUCUUGCCCCUCAUCAAGCCUCGGGCCCUCGGGUCCUGUGCUCUUGCUUUAGCUUCAGCACAAUCGUAGGCAGCCCCAAAUGACUUGUCAAAUGGAGAGAACCAUGCCUGAGUCAUAGCUGUGAAGGUCAGUGCAUGAAAAUGCCCUCAAACCUUCAAAAUGCCACACGAACAAGAGGUCUAGGCAGGGAGACUGGCAAGGAGAAAGAGCACUGGACUUGGAGAAAGGGACCAGAGUUUAAGUCCUGGCCCACUUCAUAGCUGUGUGGAUUUUUUCAGGUUACUUCCGCUCUCUGAGACUUGGUCUCCUCCUCUGUCAAAUGUGAAUGUGAUAGAACCUGCCUGGUAGGGUUGUAGUGAGGAGUAAACAGGAGCAGAGCAUAAACUUAAGGGGAAUUUAAGGCCUUCUCAAAUACCACCUCUCCUGGGAAGAUUUCUGUGACCUUCCCAAGAGAGUUCACUGCUCCUUCCUCUGAGCUCAGAGGCAUUUAUACAGUCACUGGAGCAGUGCUUAUCAUUCCACAUGGAUGCAGGCUGAGCUCCCUAGAAACAGACUCUGAUGCAAAAAAAGUAUGUUGCUGGGAGGCUCCAGGAGAUACAGCUGUAGGGAAGUGAGCAAGGGAAGAAUGGGGAGAGGGAGAAGCUGACAUGCAAGGGAGAAGCUGACAUAGAAAGAGAAGCUAACACACAAGGGAGAAGCUGGAACAGAGGGAGAAGCUGACACAUAAUGGAGAAGCUGGCACAGAGGGAGAAGCAUACACACAAGGGAGAAGCUGACAUAGAGGGAGAAGCUAACACACACACAGAGAGAAACUGACACACGAGGGAGAAGCUGACACAGAGGGAGAAGGUGACAUACAAGGAAGGGAGAAGCUGACACAGAGGGAGAAGCUGACACACAGAAGCUGACAUAGCAGAAGCUGACACACAAGGGAGAAGUUGACACAGAAGGAGAAGCUAACACACACACAGAGAAGCCAACAUAGAGGGAGAAAGUGACACAGAGGGACAAGCUCACACACACACACACACACACACACACACACACUGACAUAGAGGGAGAAGCUGACACACAAGGGAGAAGCUGACACACACAGAGAGAAACUGACAUAGAGGGAGAAGCUGACACAGAGGGACAAGCUAACACACACACACACACAGAAACUGACACAGAGGGAGAAGCUGACACACACAGAGAAGCCAGCAUAGAGGGAGAAGCUGACACAGAGGGACAAGCUAACACACACACACACACACACACAGAAACUGACAUAGAGGGAGAAGCUGACACAAAAGGGAGAAGCUGACAUGCAAGGGAGAAGCUGACACGGAGAAGCUGACACACACACAGAGAAGCUGACCUAGAGAGAGAAGCUGACACACAAGGGAGAAGUUGACACAGAGGUAGAAGCUGACACACACACGCACAGAGCCCAACAUAAAGGGAGAAGCUGAUACAGAGGAACAAGCUAGCACGCACGUGCGCGCGCACACACACACACAGAAACUGACAUAGAGGGAGAAGCUGACACAGAAGAACAAGCUAACACACACACACACACACACACACAGAGAAACUGACAUAGAGGGGAAGUUGACACACAGAGGCAGUUGCUGAGGCCACAGGGAGCUCUGGGGCUGGGACCGCCUUUCAGAGCUAUCCUGAAAAAGGCAAGGGAUGGCCCUUUAAACUAUCACCCCAGCCAGGGAUUGGCUAGAGACUCCUUCUCCUGUCUUCCCUGGGAGGGGCCAUAACCUUGGGCCACGCGGUACCUGCAGCAGAGAGUGGUUCUCAGUGAGGGACAGCGUCAGCAGCAGCUGGUACCCCAGCCCUGAAGAGGGGGCCUGCCAGGACUGUGUGAAGCAUUCGAGAACUAAUGGAGAACCAAACAGAAUUGCAGCCCACAUGGGGCUUUGGGGCUAUAUUUGGUCUCUGUUUACCUAUUUGGUCUCUCUAGCCAGCUUGGCAGCUUCCUUGGGUCAGAAUGUUCUCAUUAGAAGAGCUCAUAGUUGGUGCUUAAUAAGAGUCUAUCGGAUUUCAUGACCAGUAAUGCACCCAGGUCCCUUUCUUUGUUUCUCUAAAGUGUAUCACCUGCUCAUUCAAAAGAACUGAGCCCCUUUUUCGUGGGCUAAACUUGCACAUGAUUUUUUUUAGACUCAAAAGAGAAAAAGGAAGCAAGCCUGUAGAGACAGAACCUAAUUAAAAAACAUCCCGCACAGCAAUUGAAGUGAAGGUUGGCUGGGACCAGGCCUGGUCAGGGCCCGACCUCGCAGCAUCCACCAGAAUGUUGCCAAAGGGGGAAGAUAGCAAAGACACCCUGAUUAACUCUCCCAGGGAUCUGCAGCAGGAUGGUCAUUUUGAAGUUUUCCUUGGAAGCUUUGCCACCAGGUGUAAAUCUAGCCCAAGCUCUGCACCUGCCAACUUCUCUAGGCUCAACCGAGCUAUUGUUUCACACUCCAAGUCCUGACGUUACCAGAUUUAGCCUGAUUUAUGAUGGGGGCUAUAAAGACCACUUGUAUGUAAAGAAAGCCAUUGGCUGAUCCCUGGCAGCUCCAUGGCAGGGCUGCAACCCACAUUCUUCUCUACUGUUCUAAUAUGGGUAUCAUUACCCAUACUAAUCGGAAUAUGAAUUCUGUGUCUACCUAUGACUGCAUUUGAUAGUACAAAACAGUUUUACUUUCAUUAUUCCAGCAGGUCCCACAAUGGGCCUGUGAAGUAGACAGCUAUGUGAUCAUGAGGAAUUUGUUCACCCUCUCUGGGUCUCGGUUUACCCAACUUCAAAAUGAUAAUAGAACCUCAGAAGGAGUUGUAAGGGUCAAACCAUGUAAUACCUGUGAAGCCCUUAAAAUAAAGGCUUGAAAUUAUUGACAGGAAUUUCUAGUCUCACUCUGCAAGAGAAGAAACCAAGGUGCAGAGAGGUAAAGUUGAUGAAUAUGAUGCCUGGGUAUCAAGGAAGGAAGGCACUGUGGGACUAGAUGCAAACCAAGCUAGGAAUUCCUGUGUGGGAUUUCUAUUAUGAACAACAUAGGUGCCUUUCCAACUCGGGAACAGAGGAAAUAUGGACUCCUCAAAAGAAAAAAAGAAGAGAUGAAGGGAUGAUGUUGCCAAAGAAAGAAAUUUGGAAAAAAAAAAACCAAACCAACAUUUGCACUUUCAAAACCAUGGAACCCUUCUUAUUUUUAUAUGUUCAGAUCUAAAUGCCAGAAAGGUUACCACAUUCAAAGGGAAUGAGAUUUGAAAAUGAUUUCUUUGAGUCCUCUGCUGAGGUCUUUCCAAGGCACUACAAUUAGGGCUUUGCACCCAAAUACCCUUGCCUCAUUUUGGUCAUUUUGUCCUGGAACAGAGGUUCAGCUGGGAGACCCCUCACACACAGGUGAAGGCGUGGCUGUAGAACCUCAGACCCCCUGGUCUCCUCAGGAAUGAAGGUCAUUGCCAUCCUCACCCUCCUCCUCUUCUGCUGUAAGUAGAGAGCUUGGUGGGUCAGCACCAAGCUUCUGUCUUCCUGUUUAUGUCAGUGGGAGGGGGGACUCUCCAGGUGGCACCAGGUGAGGGAAGUCACAAGUCCCGCAGAAAAGAAUCAGGAAAGGAACGGGCUCCCACCAACGUCCUCUUGCUUCUGUUUCUGCUAUAAAAUGGGCUGAUCCCAGUGUUGGGAUCUUAUAAAGUGUCUAGGAAAUCAGAGGUUGCCAACCAUUUGCUAGAAAGGGAGUUUGACUACUAUUUUACCCCCCUCACCCUCAAGAGUCUUUUUUCCUUUGGAUGCUAGUAGCCUUUAUUUAAGGCCAUUUGGAUUCAGAACAAAAAUGCAGACAUAUAUCCAGCUAAUUUAAGAAUGAUUAAUGCUUAUCAGAAAGACAUUUUUAUGGUGACUUAUGGGAUAAUUGGUAGUUAUAAGUCAUUGCUGCCGGGAGAUCCGAUUGCUUACCUCUGCAAAGUGAAGAAAGACCUACUGGGAAACAGUUUGGGGUCUACUGGAGACUGAUAGACUCUUUUGCUGGAUUCGUUGAGUGGAGGUUUGUCCAGAUCCAUUUUCCUGUCUCUUUCAAUUGAGUCACAAUAACUUUUGAGUCCCUAAGUCAAAGAUGUCAAAAACAGACUUCCUUUCCCCACAGUGAGUGGUGGAAUUUACACUUUGCAAGGUGAUAGUGCAGGAGGAUACCUGUACGCAGGGAUGACCGCCUCUGCAGCCCCUCAGUGCGGCUCCAGGGACUGCUUGGGCAGCAGUGACCGCCCAUGGGUUUCUUCCGCCACACCCCCGUUUAGACUGAACACGAUAGUGAGAUCGAAGGCACCUGAGAAAACUCCCCCAAACUCUAUUUCUGUUUCUCUUCUUCAAGUUCAUGUCUUUGUUGUAUUUUUAUUGCAAAUUUACUACAUGCUUAUAGUUAAAAAGUAAAAUAAAUGAGUAUAUAGCAACAAGGUAAAGCUCCUCCUCAUCCUCCCCAGACCCCAGUUUUUUCCCUACAUCCAGAUGUGACCACUCUUAAGAGUUUGAUAUACAUCCUCUAUACAGCGUUUACCCACACACAUUCAAAACACCAUAAUAGGAAGGGAACACAUGCUGGGCCGGGCGCGGUUGUUCAUGACUAUAAUCCCAGCACUUUGGGAGGCCGAGGCGGGCGGAUCACCUGAGGUCAGGAGUUCGAGACCAGCCUGGCCAGCUGGCCAAGAUGGUGAAACCCCGUCUCUAUUAAAAAUACAAAAAAUUAGUCAAGCAUGGCAGUGGGCACCUGUAAUCCCAGCUACUCAGGAGGCUGAGGCAGGAGAAUUGCCUGAACCCGGGAGGCGGAGGUUGCAGUGAGCCGAGAUCACACCAUUGCACUCCAGCCUGGGUAACAACAGCGAAACUCCGUCUCAAAAAAAAAAAAAAAAGAAGGAAAGGGAACACACGCUUAUUAUGAAAAGACAUGAGACAGCGGAGACGUGUAUAAAAUGAAUGUUGCCUGUUUCUUUCUCUCUCUUCAAUCCCAAUUGCCUAGAGAUAGUGCUAUCAAAUGUAGUUUAUUUUUGAGACACAUAAUUUUGUUAUUAUCCCCCUGUCGGUGGACAUGUGGGUGGUUUCCAAUUUUUUGAUAUCACAGAUAAUGCUUCAGGAAACCAUUUUGUGUAUGCAUUUGUGCCCACUCUCAUAAGCAUCUUGUAGAAGCAAAAACAGCUGAGUUCAUGUGUACUUGUCAUUUAAAAAAAUAAUAAUUGAGGAUACCUUUCCUGCCUCUUAAGUAUUUUGUUUCUCCUGUGAGAUAGUAAAGGCCUGAUGACAUCUGGAGGGACUGGCGUUUCUGGCUUUGAACUUUUGCCAUUCAUGUUGCAUCAGACCCGAGGGUGUUCUGCCUAGAACUGUGGUUUCUUGCUUUGAGGGGGAAGACUAUGGUUGAUGGGAAAGCCUUGUUCUGAACCUCAUGGAAACUGGGUAUUCAUCUGGGUUAGCAAAAAACUAGCUGUGUUACAGGGGCAAAUCUGAACCUAUUUUAUUCCCCAGGAAAGAGGCUGGUGAUUCCAGCCAUGCCCCUUGCACUUCGCUUUGGGGAUCUGGUGAUAUUUCGAAUGCUCAGCACUCUAGUAAGGGGAGGGGACAUCAAGGCAGCAUCAUGCUCAUUGCAACUUCCUUCUUCCUUUUUUUCUCAUCGGUGGUGGCAGCCCCCACCCACAGCAGUUUCUGGCAGUUUCAGAGGAGGGUCAAACACAUCACGGGGCGAAGUGCCUUCUUCUCAUAUUACGGAUAUGGCUGCUACUGUGGGCUUGGGGAUAAAGGGAUCCCCGUGGAUGACACUGACAGGUGGGUGCAGAGGCUCUAAGGCCACUUAUCAUUUGUUUUGCAUUAAAGUUCAUGCUCAAAGCCAGAGAGAGGGUGUUAGGAUUCUUGCCUGGCAAAUAACAGAAAACAACUCAGGCUAAUGGAAGGAAGAACUGAACGGGAUUUGGAGGAUGGGUCUUGAGAAACCCAGGGUCGGGGCCAGCUUCUUGAGUGUGUGACCUGUGAAGUUUCACAGGGCCCAACACUCAUAAGGGUCAGGGCCAGCUUCUUGAGCGUGUGAUCUGUAAAGUUUCACAGGGCCUGGCACUCAUAAGGGCCUAAACAUGGUUUACUGCUCUGCUGCCACCAUCUUGAAAUUCUUAAUAAAGGGCCUCAUGUUUUCAUUUUGCUUUAGUCUCUGCAAUUAUGCCGUUGGUCCUGCCCAGAGCUCUAGAAGCUGUUUCAUCCUCAUAGUAAAAGUGCUGUGCUUUCAGCUCUCCAGCUUUUAGGACUAUAGGCACAGCACAACUGACUCACUAGUCCUAAUUCCAUAUUCUAGGAGAGGGAAUCCAAGUGGCCCAGUUUGGAGAAGUUGUCCAUCUGGGUGAGGUUGCAUGGCACAAACCUGGCUUCAGGCCUACUCCAAAGGAUGGGGGUGGGGGAGUGUGAGUUCCUAGAAAAAGUAGAGGUGGGUGUCAUCUGGUGAAUGUACGUGUGGGGAGGUAAGAAACGGGACAGUUUGCGUGUCAAUUCAUUUGAAGACAUAAGAAAGCAAAAUGUUCCUUGCCACAUUUAACCUAGUAUGGAGAAACAUGUCCCCACAGUGGGGCCUUAAAUAUCACUCCUGGAGCUCGAGUCUUGUGGGUGGGGCUCAUGGAACCAUGGGAGGACCUCAGAGCCUUGGAAGGGCAACUGACGCUUAUGAAAUGCCCUUAUGUGCCAAGCACUGGGACUGGCGAUUGGCAUACAAACCUAAUUUAAUUCUCGCAGGGAAUGCACGAGACAGUGAUACCAGCCCAUUUGACAGGUGAGGACAGUGAGUUGCUAAACCACCUCCUAAAGGCAAUGCAGCUUCUAAGUGGCAGAGUUAGGAUUGAACGAGAAUUUGCCUAUUUCAAAGUUUGUCCCCUCUCCUUGAUGGUCUGUGCCUCCCCUGUCAAAGUCCAAAGGCUGAUUAGAAAUUGAACAUCAUUAGCCAAAGCUGAUCAACAGCAGAGCCCCCACUUGCAGAUGGGAAUGGUGAGAGAGGGAGACUGAAACAUUUUUCUUGGCCUUUCAGGCCUUAGAAUCCAAGCUUAAGUUUCUGCCUUCCUGUCCCUUGUGUAGUGGUUGAGGACAUGGACUGAGCCCAUGCUCCAGAUGGUAUUUCUCCUCCAGUGCUCUCCCAUCCAGCCCCCAGCCAACUCUGGGUGCCAUGAAUGGGACUACGUCGGCUUUUACAGACAGUUGUCUCCUCAGAGACCGUUACAGUGCCUGACUCACAGUAGGUGCUCAGUAAAAAGUGUUAAAUGAAUGAAUGGGCCUAGGUUUGUGUCCUGGGUCUAUCAUUCUCCAGCUGCCUAAGUUUGGGAAAUUGGCCUCUUGGAAUCUCAGUCCCUCCCCUACAAAAGGGCAGCAAUGAUUGUACUUUAUAGGUUUCUAUGAGUAGCUAAUGAGAUAGCAACAGAUACUAGAGAGGGCUCAGGAAAUGCUACUGGUUAUUA